GAAGAGCCGAAGAAGAAGGAAAGGAAAGCAGCCGGAGCUGCUUUCACGUGGAUUCAAGCAAACUUUGCGCAUUGCCCUGCGGAUGCCACUGAUGAUGUGAUACAGACACAUGCUCGUGUCUAUAUGUGGUACGUUGUCUCGAGGACUUUGUUUCCUGACUCCACGGGCAAGAACGCUCCAUGGAUGUGGUUGAAGGCGUUGACCGUCUUAGAUAGCAAAUGGAGCUGGGGUUCAGCGACUCUUGCGUACUUGUACCGACAAGUAGUUGGUUUGUUUUGUUAUCAACUCAUUUGUUCAUUACCAAUGCAACCUUCCUGUCCACUUAACAUUGUUUUUCUUUCAUAUGCAACUGGACGAUGCGUGUUGCAGGAUCACAGAUAG
rnacentral:rRNA from 1 species